rnacentral:rRNA from 1 species
AACUUUUAGAGAUAAAAGCUAAUACUUUAUAUGCCAUUGGUGAAAGAAGAAAUUCGCCUAAAGAGGAGCUCGCGUCUGAUUAGCUAGUUGGUGGGGUAAGAGCCUACCAAGGCGACGAUCAGUAGCUGGUUUGAGAGGAUGAUCAGCCACAUUGGAACUGAGACACGGUCCAGACUCCUACGGGAGGCAGCAGUAAGGAAUAUUCUGCAAUGGGCGCAAGCCUGACAGAGCAAUACCGCGUGAGGGACGACUGCCUACGGGUUGUAAACCUCUUUUCUCAAGGAGGAAGAACUGACGUUACUUGAGGAAUAAGCAACGGCUAACCCUGUGCCAGCAGCCGCGGUAAUACAGGGGUUGCAAGUUUUAUUCGGAAUCAUUGGGCGUAAAGCGUCUGCAGGUUGACAUAAAAGUCUUUUGUUAAAUAUCAGAGCUC